UACGUAGGUGGCAAGCGUUGUCCGGAAUUAUUGGGCGUAAAGCGCGCGCAGGUGGUUUCUUAAGUCUGAUGUGAAAGCCCACGGCUCAACCGUGGAGGGUCAUUGGAAACUGGGGAACUUGAGUGCAGGAGAGAAGAGUGGAAUUCCACGUGUAGCGGUGAAAUGCGUAGAGAUGUGGAGGAACACCAGUGGCGAAGGCGACUACCUGGCCUGUUCUUGACGCUGAGGCGCGAAAGCUAGGGGAGCAAACGGG
rnacentral:rRNA from 1 species